UUCUAAAUCUGGCCACAGGACUCGACUUUGCAGACUUUGGCAGGGGUGAAUUCCACAGGAUGGAGCAGGGGUGAAGUGCAGGGGGAUGGAGCAGCUCACACGGUCGCACUUCUGUUCCCCUCCUGCUGCAGCUGGGUGCUCACCUUCCCAUUGCCUUGCUUGGCCUUAGCAACUUAUUGAAGAUGCCCAAAUAGAAUUUCCAAGGUAAUUCUGGACACUCACAAGCUUCUGGGCAAAGAGAGACAGGAUCCUCCAUGGACUCGUUUCACCCUCAUGUGGUGCUUGAGUAUCUGGGAUGAAUCACCUAACACGGAGGCUGGGAUGACUUUCCUACAGCUGCCUCAGUUUGCCUGGGAGAACGGGUCCUGCUGAUGUUAGUGGUUUGGGUCACCUGAGGAUGACCCAAUUCCAUGGGCUGGAGCAGAGGAUGACCUUUCAACAACAAUAGGACACAGCAAGUCUUCAUCAGGACAAACAUCUCCUGACUGUACCACAGCACAGAUAGGAAAUGCACAUCUGACACUCAGGGGUGGAUAAUAGAUAAUGUCCCAGUGCACACCUCACCACAGAUGGAGUAUGUUCACCAGGAGGGUUUGGUGUUGGAUGGAGGAGACACUGGGUGGAAACUUUCAAUGUCCAUGAGUUCAGACUGGAAUAUCUUGACCCCUUUUAGUGAUCUGUGGACUUCACCAAGACAACGGUUUCCAUGUAUCUCAGAGGAAACUGAGCAACUUCUCUAAGCAAGAAAUACACAGAUUUCUCUUACCUAGCGCAGGGCACUCCUGGAAUAUAUUGAGGUGUAACCAUAAUAGAAGACGCCAGCAGCAGUGUCCUAUGGAGGCUUUGGAAGAACAUCAGUGUGACAUGCGCCAUAGUUGAAACAGUAAGUGUUCAUUUUUCCUCUGAAAUUCUUUCUGUUCUUCAUCCAAGAGAGAAUCCCUUGAACUUCAGUUCCCCAUCAGUGGAAGGAGCAGCAGAUCUUCAGCAGCAGCAGUAACAGCCCUCACAAAACUCAGAGGUUGGAAGGGGACCGAAGGAAAAACACUCUGCAGAGGUUACCAGGCCAAAGCCCUGGGGCAACUGAAAGCUAAAUUAAAAGGGGGAAAAAAAUGAAUAUCCCAUACUAAACCAAAAACCAAAACCCUAAUGAAAACACUAAAAGCAAUGAUUAAUAUGACAACUGGGCAGCUUUCCCCGAAGACACGAAUUCCCAUCAGGGUAAUCAAAUUUGUCUUAAAAAUGAUAAAUAGCUCUACCACUAACCUAAAAAUGUACCUUGAUCCCACCAAGCUCAAUCUCUUCAAACACUAGCUGCUUCAUUAAAAAUAAAAAAUAAAAAAAAAUUAAAUAAACAAAUAAAACAAAACCCACAGUCCCAACACAGACUUUUUCAAAGUUACCUCAGUCUUUUUGGCUGUUCAAUCCACUCCCUGGUGUCUAGGUGUAAACAAUUCCCAAAAAGAGACGUCUGUAUCCUUGAAUUCCAGAAAAGGUAGCGCUUUGUCUUUCUUUCCCAAGAAGGCUGUCUUUAUGCUGAGUUUCUCAACCAAACCAGGGAUGUUUAGGCCUUUUGAUUAUUU